GGCUAGGAUAACAUUAGAUUAGCUUAGUUAAGCUAAGACUGCUAGCAGGGAGGGAAAGGGGUUUGUCGAGAGUAAAGAGGACACUGUUCCUCCAAAAACUGACGUCAGACUCUGCAGCCAUGUUAGGAUCAACCAUAGUCUGUGGGAUCAACAGGCAUUUUCACAGCUGUCUCGCUGAGUUAUGUAAAGAAGAACUGGGUGUUAACAUCACAUCACCGGGCAUAAAAUCUUCAAAAUUGAGGAAACACUGGUGCUUUGGAUCAUCCACAUAACACCACCGAGCGACAACAGAGAAGAGAAAAAUGGUUCAUAUCAUUAUUAAGGUUCAGUCAAAAGAAAUUCAGAAUAUUCUUUAGGAUUGAUGUAAGUCAGGUGUAUUGGUAUCAGACUAAAAUGCAUCCAGUAUAGAUAAUAUUUCCUCAAUUUUUGCAAUCAAGAUACCUAUGUUCAUAUAAUUUCCUGUAGUACACCAUGCACUAUCUGCAUACUCUGUGUAGUUUGUACAUUUUGAUGGGGAAACAUUGGCCUCAAUCAAACCUGAAAAGUUUUGCACCUGCGAGAAACAAUGGCUGUGUUUUACAUCCCUUUAUAUCUUGUUGCGUCUCCAUCCAAACAUUUAAUAAAAAAUUCUUGAUAAAUACCAAACAAUGGCACAACACAUAUAACAUCAAUACCUCAGAAGAAAUAUGCCUCUUUUAGCACUGUCACUGCCAUUUGACAGUAGAUCUAAUAAUGUUUUCUCCUACUGAUUGCCUUGAAUUAGUUAGAGAUCAUUCUGCUGCUGCUGAACAAAAUUCAACCUUUUGCCCUCUGUGAGUACACAAUCCAUUUAUUAAUGUCACUGUUGCACACUGCAUGUUGUACCGAAGCAUCCAAGUUGUAAAUUUCUCAGACACAGAUGAUUUAAAUAAAAUAUUGUUUGGGUACUCCUGAAGUAAUGCAAUACUUGGAUCUUGUAUCUGGAUUCAUCUAACCGAUUGAGUGUAAUUCAGAGCCAUGGGGGGGGGAAGCGGAGUGUAUCCCAGCUGCCAUAGGGCAACAGCCUGUUGCAAAGCUAAUGCAAAGAAACAGGCAACCAUUCCCACUCUCAGUCACACCUAUGGGCAAUUUAAGUACCAAGUAACCUAACCCCACUAACUGCAUGUCUCUGGGUUGUGGGAGGAAGUUGGAGUACCCAGGGAGGACAUGCAAACUCCACAAAAAAAGGCCCUGGCCAGAUAGUGAAUUCGAACCCAGGACUUUGUUGCUCAAACCCUGGACACAAUGCAGCUUUUAAAAAUAUCUAUGUACAUGUGAACAAGGUUUCCAAACUUUUAUAUCAAUUCAGUUGUUAACUUGCACUCCAUUUUUUUAGAAAGUGUUACUCUGGAUCAUAGAGUACUCAUCCACU